GGAAUAUUGCACAAUGGGGGAAACCCUGAUGCAGCCAUGCCGCGUGUGUGAAGAAGGCCUUCGGGUUGUAAAGCACUUUCAGUAGGGAGGAAAGGGUGUAACUUAAUACGUUAUAUCUGUGACGUUACCUACAGAAGAAGGACCGGCUAACUCCGUGCCAGCAGCCGCGGUAAUACGGAGGGUCCGAGCGUUAAUCGGAAUUACUGGGCGUAAAGCGUGCGCAGGCGGUUUGUUAAGCGAGAUGUGAAAGCCCUGGGCUCAACCUAGGAAUAGCAUUUCGAACUGGCGAACUAGAGUCUUGUAGAGGGGGGUAGAAUUCCAGGUGUAGCGGUGAAAUGCGUAGAGAUCUGGAGGAAUACCGGUGGCGAAGGCGGCCCCCUGGACAAAGACUGACGCUCAUGCACGAAAGCGUGGGGAGCAAACAGGAUUAGAUACCCCGG
rnacentral:rRNA from 1 species